UGAUUUGAAUUUGGCGCCAGAAUAACGUCGCCUCAGCUACGCCUGUAGAGCUUUAUUAAAUGAGCACGUGUGUUUCCUGAAAGAGAGGAAAAGGUUGGAGGAAGUGACAUAAUUUACUAGAGGAUAAACAACAAACAUCAGAUCCCCAAUGAAGAAUCCACAUUUACAGGGAAACUCAAGACCUAUACGUAUAAUAUGCUGUUGAUCCAGACACACCCUUCACUUAGAGUUCAGUGCUAUUAUGGGCAGGUGGGUAACCAUGGUAACGGGUUUCCUGGUGUUCUGGGAUGUUUUGACUCAGAUAACCCAUGAACAGGAAGUGGUCCAUUCUGCUGCAUCACAUGGUCUCAGAGAAUUCAGGUAAAGGCUAUACGUGAUGGUAAACCUCAUUCUGUGAAACUGCACGAACUGUCCCACCGAGGGGAAACAGACUCAAACUGUCAGUCAGUCAAAUUUAUUUAUAUAGUGCUUUUCACAAUACAUAUUCUUUCAAAGCAGCUGUGCAUGAAAUCAUGAGGUUAAUAUUUAUAAUAUCUUCAUGCCUUAUGGCCCGUUCACAUGAUGAUAUAAAAAUUGUUCUAAAUAUAAGAUUCAUACCACAAUAUUGUUGGAACAGCUGAUGAACAAUAAAAACAUUGACAGCCAACCAUCCUACAUGGACUAUAAACAAUCAUCCAACCAAGAUUUUCUAUUUAUUAGGCUAUAUAUAUCGCUUUACAUGAGUGUACUGUAUGUACAAAGUAAAGUAGGACAUACACUACUAUAUAUAUACAAUUUCAAUAUAUAGUUUUUGACGAUUUAACAAUUAAGCAGUUGAGAUUUGCUAUAUAGUAUAUAAUGUUUAACACGAGUGUCCAGUUAAGUUUGGAUUUACUUUUAGUGUUCGAUAUUAAUUCAUAAAUCAUUUCGAGAUAUUAAUUCGCUAUACUGUGAUAUUGAAAAUUAUGAAACCUGUGAGGUUUUGUUCAGUUAUAACAAUAACGUUCAGUUAAAAUACAACGUUUGUUCAAAGUUUUCUGGUUUUUAAUAACGUUAGCACACAAAUAUUAUUUAUACAUCAUUCAUGGAACGUUGGACGUUCCUCUAACGUUUUUUAGAAUGUUUAAAUGUAACGUUCCCAUCAUGUUUGAAGAAUGAUAUAAUAGAAUGUUCCCUUAACAAUCAAAUAACCAAAUAAUAAAAUCAUGUUUUCUAAUAAGAACGCAAGCAUGUUUUUUGUUAGAACUAGUUUAAAGGAGAUCAGAAUAAGCGUGAGCUCAUGUUUUUCUGUGUGCACUACAGCACUGUAUAUAUAUACAUAUAUAUACGUCUUUGUCUUUACAUACUACCCAGACAUUCCCAUCAUUGUGUUUCUGAAUACCGGGAAGUGCUUCCCAAAAUUAACCCCCAGAAACGUUGGACCCCCCAGAAGCCCUAGUGAGUGUGUUUGUGUGUUUAUCGUCUGGGAUUGUGGGUAUAGAGACAUUCCUGUCCUGGAAAACUCCUCACUUCUUUAGAAAGACUGGUUAGUCCUAUAAAUGACUUGAACACACGGGCCUCUGUUUGUUUCAUGUAUCUCAUCUGGGCCCCUAAACGUCUAUUGUUGUUUCAUGGUCAUGUGUGAACACGUCUCCUCCUGAAAGAAACACAAUGAGGAUCUGAUCUAGAGGCCCCAUCCUCCUCAGCUUUCAUUGCUAUUAACGGGUGACAUUUCUGCUCCAGGACCUCGUGCUCCUUUGAUCGGACUCUGAUUUUCACCUUCAAAGCCUUCAGUUAGUGAAUUGAACAGAAUACAAACACCUCCAACUCCGUCCACACCACUGAAGCUCCGUGAAGAAGAUAAAUGAGCUUUUGAUCAUCCUCCUCAUGUAAAUCUGAGUUGAUCAGUGAAGUAUCCCAAAAUUCUCUUGAUGUUCUCCCAGCGCAGUGACGCUUCUCUCAUGUCCACCAGCAGGAGGCGUCAGACGUCCUCGCCUGAUGAUCACAUGAUUCUUCAACCCUGCACUGAGAGGUGAGUCGGUGUGAUUAUGGGCUGUAUGGAGGCCAGAGGUAACCACAGUUUCCUGCUGUUCUGGAAUGUCUGACUCUAAUCACCUGUGAAGAGGAAGUGCUCCAUUCUUCUGGACGCUGCAUCACAUGAUCCCAGAGAAUUCAGGUGAAAGAGCAAGCACAGGGUGUGACCUCUGAACUGACCUUUCACUUCUCACACACAUGACUUCUGUACUCACAGAAGACGGAGUGAGAGUUCUGACUCACGCGCAACUGUCCUGAAAUGCCAGCUUGACCUUAAUUGACUUGUACAUAACGUCACGAUGGAAAACAAAAUCUUAGUGAUCCUAAAACAGGUUUCAUUUUCUUUACGCAAAAAUAAAAUGUUUGCAUUAUUUAUUUGUCAUAUUCUUUGUAUUCAUUUUUAUUUUCCUCACUAGGACAAAUUCUGAAAACUCUUGAUAAAUGGGGUUCAAUAAUAUUCAUUCCCUCCAGAAUUGGUCACAAGAAUAAUGCAAAUAUUUGAAUAUAUUUUUUUUGCCAAAAAACAAUAUUAGCUAAUUAAAAUCCAUGAUUCUGAGCGCAAACACAUUAUUAUAUAACAAAUGUAUGCCUAUAUAACAAAUUGCGCACCUGUAUUGACCACAGCUGUUUUCAGUCAUCAUGCACAAAAAUAUUUAUUGCUAACUGACCUUUCGCCGUGAGUUUGAUUGACAGGCGAUCGAACCAAUCAGAACACCGAAUCCACCGUUUUGUCCGAGAAAGCAGUCUGGAGUUAGAAGAUUAACGUCGGUAGACUUGAACUUGAAAAAGAUGUGUACUGACAUCUUUCCGCGAUCGAAACAACAUACCUUCUGAUGUUCAUUCAUGUUUAUUUGAUGCUAUAAAUGAACUAACAGGAAGAGAUGAUCGGUUCACAAGCUGCUUGAACUGGGACGCUAAAACGAUCAUUAAUUUCUUUAAAAAUGACAAAAUUUUGUUUCAUAUCAAAAGUAACCUUCUCUGUCUUGUCUGUCAGUGUCCUCUUUGCUCCGCGAUGUAUUUUUCACUGCGUGAUAUUAUGAUGUGUGGUGAGAGAGCGGCAUGGCUUGUCGGACGUAGCAACAGUAACUAAAGGGGGCGAUUCUUUAUGGAUGGCUAGUACAGUCACUAAUACUAAUUACAUAAAUGUAUGAUGAUUAUUGGUGUGUUUUCAUUGCAAAAUAAUAGAAAAAUGCUGCAAAAUGUCACUCAGUUUUUGAGAAAUGCCACAGCAGAUUGAGUCAUUUUGGACUGCAAAAAUCAGAAAAUGUCUGAAUAAUGUUUUAAAAAUAAGUACUGUGGUAUAUCAUAAGGUACAGUACUGAACUUAACCGUGUACCAUGGUAUUUACAGUAUUUGAUACUUCAAAAAAGAUCAUUAAUAUUCAGUAAUAAAACCUGUUCUAGUAGAGCCCGAAAACACUCUUAAGACUUUGUAUAAGGGUGUACCAGGUCCUCUUUAAUAUCUGUAGGCGUUUGACCCUUUAAGUCUCGUGACUUUGUGCUCCAUUGACCUCCACAUGCAGUUCUUUCACAAACAUAUUCCACUCCUCCUCGCUUUCUCUCUGAGCGGUCCGUCCACGCCUGGAUCCGCAGAUGUUUUCCACUGAGCCCUGCGUGUGUCCGGUGAAGAGAGGUCAGGGUGGAUCUUUCUUCUUUAGCCUAUAUGACACGCAUAGGUCACAUACUUCCUCUGGCAUUCGCCGUGACAUGGUGCAGAGUUCCCAUAUUUCUUAAUAAAGACCAUGAAAUGCCACAGAGUUCACAAAAAAUGAGAACCAUAGAAGUUCUGAUCAUUGAGAGAGAGAGAGAGAGUCCUAGACUUGCACAGGGUUUGUUUAUGAAGUUUUCAGCUGUUUUGUCUCGCUGGAUGUUUAAUUAAACAGCUCUGUGUGGAAAACGGUUUCUCUGUACAAGCAUGUCUUGCUAAAUAUUUGAGUAUUUCUUCAAACAUUUAAAGAUUUGUGCAUUACACGCCCUGUUAAAGGAAAAUGGAAAAUGCAUACUGCAAAUUUUCCCACAAAUGCAUUAAUAUCAACAUCAAGUUCUUUAACACGUCAUGAAACAUAUCAAAAAUCAACGUUUCACCUCAAAGUCACAAAGAAAAUGAAACCUGUUUUAGCACCAUUUUAUAUUUAAACAUUUAAACACAUUUUACCCCCAAAAUCUCUUUCUUGUGGUUUUAACACUCUCUUUCUCUCUCUCUCUC